rnacentral:rRNA from 1 species
AUGCCUUAUCCCGACCGGCGCCCUUUUCCUCGUCUCUCAGGCGAAACAGAGGAGCUCCAGCAUCGACGCCCAGGCGGUCGUGGCGGAGGCGGCGCGCCGGAGGAGCUCGACAACAGGUCGGCCUGGGAGCCGGAGCAGCAGCGCUACCGUCUCCUCCCCCUCUUUCUAGGAACUGGAGCUAGGGUCGGCCUGCAACCCUCCUGCAGCUCCCCUGCCGUUCCCGUCCUCGACGAUGCGGUGGCGGUCGGAGCAGUUGUCCAACCACGCCUAGAAGCUCUUGUAGCAGCGAAGCAGCCGCAUCGCAUCUCCGGCUGGUGCAGUCUGUUGAGGCGCCUGCGCCGGGCCCCGCCCACUGCCUCCGGUCGCGCCGCCACAAGCACAAGCAGGACCGUCGGCAGCAUCGAUAGCGCCACCGCCGACGCGUGCGCCGCAAGCGGUGCCGGCGCCGGGUGCGCCCGCUGCCCUUUCCCAUGGUACAGUUCUCCACCCCCCUACCUCACUUGUAGUAGUACUACUUCAUACUCAUUGGCGGUCCCGGACGGGUUAAGUGCCACCAAACUGGUCGACGGCGGCUGGACGGGGAGUUGGUGGGUGGGGUAG